rnacentral:rRNA from 1 species
CCGGGAGACAGACGGCGGGUGCUAAGGUCCGUCGUCAAAAGGGAAACAGCCCUAACCUACAGCUAAGGUCCCCAAGUCAUAUCUAAGUGGGAAAGCAUGUGGGAAUCCCAAAACAACCAGGAGGUUGGCUUAGAAGCAGCCAUCCUUUAAAGAAAGCGUAACAGCUCACUGGUCUAGUCAAGCCGUCCUGCGCCGAAGAUGUAUCGGGGCUAAAGCCAUGCACCGAAGCUGCGGACUUCUCUUCGGAGGAGUGGUAGCGGAGCGUUCCGUAGGCCUGCGAAGGUGAUCCGUGAGGAUUGCUGGAGGUAUCGGAAGUGAGAAUGCUGACAUGAGUAGCGACAAAGAGUGUGAGAGACACUCUCGCCGAAAGUCCAAGGGUUCCUGCGCAAGGCUAAUCCGCGCAGGGUGAGCCGGCCCCUAAGGCGAGGCCGAAAGGCGUAGUCGAUGGGAACCACGUUAAUAUUCGUGGGCCUGGUGGUAGUGACGGAUCUCGUGUGUUGUAUCUCCUUACUGGAUUGGAGAUGCAGCGAAGAGGUUCCAGGAAAUAGCUCCACCGUAUAGACCGUACCCGAAACCGACACAGGUGGUCAGGUAGAGUAUACCAAGGCGCUUGAGAGAACUCGGG